rnacentral:tRNA from 1 species
GCCCUAGUAGUCUAGUGGCCUAGGAUCUCGGCCUGUCGAGCCGGGGACCCGGGUUCAAAUCCCGGCUAGGGCG